GUGCUGAGCGGCAAGGCACAGCCGCGGGAAGGUAAACGCAGAGCCGAGGGGCCGGCCAGCACCUGGCCCUGACCGCCCCCAGGCCACGCAUUCCUUGUUACUUCACCUCCUGGCGGAUGGCAACCGUCCCAGCUUCGUGGACUGUCAGGGUCACCGAGAGUCCAGGGUGGUGGGAGUCCCCCACACGAGCCACUGGCACACUCCCUGAAGCAGAAGCCACGGCGCCAAAGCUGUGGGCUCAGGGAACUUGCCCAUUACCUGGCAGCCCCGCAUCUGUGCCAAAAUAAGACACAACUCAGCCCAGCGGAGUGGACAGUGUCUGCGGCCAGCUCUGGGAUCCAGGGCCAGCUGAUGCUGGGAACAGCCGUCCUUGCCCUGUGCCUCUCCACACUGCGAGAGCCCCUGCAGCCCAGAGGGGCUCCACCUCCCCUGCAAUGGGGCUCAAAAGACAAUCCUUCUACGGGGCUGGCAGGACAGACGUGACAGGAACAACGAUGGCCUGCUCCUCCCGGAAGGUGGCUUCAAGAGCACUCAGGAGGUGACAGAUGCUGUCAAGACCGGCCCAGGGAAGGCACAGGGCAGGUUUCCCAGCACCCACCACGCGCCAGCGAGCACAGAGCCUUCGCCUGAACCAUCCAGGCACCGCGCCCUCCCCCUCCGCACACACAGGAGCCCAGCUGCGAUUCCCUCUGCUCCACAGGAGAUGCAGCGAGCACCAAAGAGCCUUCCUCCAGGAUUAAGCCUGAUGCAGAAGUGGUUACACUGACUACGGCAAGCUGAGCCCUGCCGGCUGUUGUGCGCUCCGUGGAAAGGGAGAAGCACGGUCUCCAGCGGCUGCGUCAGGAGUGGUGCCUUGUGCACACCUCACAGGGAGAGAAGUCUCCAACGGACUGAGCGGAGGAAAAAAGAAAAAAGGAGAAAAGGAAAAAGAGCUGCAUACCUGGCAGGCCUACUGUGUGCAAAGCCCUUGAGUGACACACCCUAUGACCCACAGCACUGUGGCAAUCCCAGGGCCGCACCAGCUCUCUCUCCUUCCCCUCCUCAGGGCCACACCAACUGUGGGGUUCCAGCUAUCACUCUGUGCAAAGGACUCCUAACAUGGGUGUCCUCCGUCUCACCCCAUAAGCCACACUGGCCAAGGCCAGGCAGGCACCACACAUCGCGAGACACAUGCUUGGUCACUGGGCUGUGGAACAUACAGGAGCCCCGUGCUCCGGAACACGGACCACCCGACAGGAGCACGGACACAGCAGUCGGGGCGACGUGGGUGCCUCACAGAAGAGGGAAAAAGCCAGGAGGGCGGCACGUGGGCGCAAAGUUCUCAGCUUCGUUAGUCAUCAAGAAAAUGCAAACUAAAACCAAGGUAAGUGUGAGGGUUACUACUGAGUUUCAACUUGACUGGACUAAAGGAUGUGUAACUGUUCCUGGGAGCAUCUUGAGGAAGCUGCCAAAGGAGAUUCACAUUGAGUCAGUGGACGGGGAGAGGCCGACGAACCCUCCAUCUGGGGGGGCAUGAUCUCAUCAGCUGCCAGCACGGCAGAUCUGCGGAAGCACUGGACUGGCUGAGUCUUCCAGCCUCCAUCUUUCUUCCAUGCUGGAUACUUCCUGCCCUCGAACAUCAGACUCCAAGUGCUUCAGCUUUUGGGUUCUUGGACCUACACCAGUGGUUUGCCAGGGGUUCUUGGGCCUUCGGCCACAGACUGAAAGCUGCGCUGUUGGCUUCCCGACUUUUGAGGUUUGGGGACUCGGACUGGCUUCCUGGCUCCUCAGCUUGCCAACAGCCUAUUGUGGGACUUCACCUCAUGACUGUGUGAGUCAAUACUCCCAAUAAACUCCCCUCCAUAUAUA